rnacentral:rRNA from 1 species
CCUACGGGAGGCAGCAGUGGGGAAUAUUGGACAAUGGGGGAAACCCUGAUCCAGCAAUGCCGCGUGAGUGAUGAAGGCCUUAGGGUUGUAAAGCUCUUUUACCAGGGAUGAUAAUGACAGUACCUGGAGAAUAAGCUCCGGCUAACUCCGUGCCAGCAGCCGCGGUAAUACGGAGGGAGCUAGCGUUGUUCGGAAUUACUGGGCGUAAAGCGCACGUAGGCGGUUACUCAAGUCAGAGGUGAAAGCCCGGGGCUCAACCCCGGAACUGCCUUUGAAACUAGGUAACUAGAAUCCUGGAGAGGUGAGUGGAAUUCCGAGUGUAGAGGUGAGAUUCGUAGAUAUUCGGAAGAACACCAGUGGCGAAGGCGGCUCACUGGACAGGUAUUGACGCUGAGGUGCAAAAGCGUGGGGAGCAAACAGGAUUAGAUACCCUGGUAGUCCACGCCGUAAACGAUGAUAACUAGCUGUCCGGGCACAUGGUGUUUGGGUGGCGCAGCUAACGCAUUAAGUUAUCCGCCUGGGGAGUCGGUCGCAGNUUAAAACUCAAAGGAUUGACGGNUGAGAGNGCGAGACGACGACGAGGGAGAGG